CGGGGUGUAGUUCAUCGGUAGAACGCGCGAUUCGGGUUCGCGAAGCAGGAGGUUCAAUUCCUCUCACCCCGA
rnacentral:tRNA from 2 species